rnacentral:lncRNA from 1 species
AAGGUUUGGACAACUUCUAGGAACAUUUGGAACAAAUGAGAUGGGAAUAUGUAAACAAAAUUUAAUUCUAGAAGAGGAAAUUAAUUGUGAAACAACUUUAAGUGUACUUGAGGCAGCAACCCAUCAGUCAUUAUCCGGAGGUCAAGGAUUUUUCAAAUGUUCUUGUAAAACUAAAUGUUUAAGUAACCGGUGCAAAUGCAAGAAAAACGGGAGAAAGUGCAAUAGUCGGUGCCACACUGUCAGUUCAACAACUUGUGAUAACAAAUGAUUUUAACACACAUUUGUAUUAAGUUUUCAUGUUUUAUAAGUAAUAUUUGAUGAGUUUUAAUAUAAAAA